rnacentral:rRNA from 1 species
GACGAACGCUGGCGGCGUGCUUAACACAUGCAAGUCGAACGGAAAGGCCCUGCUUUUGUGGGGUGCUCGAGUGGCGAACGGGUGAGUAACACGUGAGUAACCUGCCCUUGACUUUGGGAUAACUUCAGGAAACUGGGGCUAAUACCGGAUAGGAGCUCCUGCUGCAUGGUGGGGGUUGGAAAGUUUCGGCGGUUGGGGAUGGACUCGCGGCUUAUCAGCUUGUUGGUGGGGUAGUGGCUUACCAAGGCUUUGACGGGUAGCCGGCCUGAGAGGGUGACCGGCCACAUUGGGACUGAGAUACGGCCCAGACCCCUACGGGAGGCAGCAGUGGGGAAAAUUGCACAAUGGGCGGAAGCCUGAUGCAGCAACGCCGCGUGCGGGAUGACGGCCUUCGGGUUGUAAACCGCUUUCGCCUGUGACGAAGCGUGAGUGACGGUAAUGGGUAAAGAAGCACCGGCUAACUACGUG